GACGAACGCUGGCGGCGUGCUUAACACAUGCAAGUCGAACGGAAAGGCCCUGCUUGCAGGGUCCUCGAGUGGCGAACGGGUGAGUAACACGUGGGUGAUCUGCCCUGCACUUCGGGAUAAGCCUGGGAAACUGGGUCUAAUACCGGAUAGGAGCCAUUUUUAGUGUGAUGGUUGGAAAGUUUUUUCGGUGUAGGAUGAGCUCGCGGCCUAUCAGCUUGUUGGUGGGGUAAUGGCCUACCAAGGCGGCGACGGGUAGCCGGCCUGAGAGGGUGGACGGCCACAUUGGGACUGAGAUACGGCCCAGACGCCUACGGGAGGCAGCAGGGGGGAAUAUUGCACAAUGGGCGCAAGCCUGAUGCAGCGACGCCGCGUGGGGGAUGACGGCCUUCGGGUUGUAAACUCCUUUCGCUAGGGACGAAGCUUUUUGUGACGGUACCUAGAGAAGAAGCACCGGCUAACUACGUG
rnacentral:rRNA from 1 species